AUUUGAUAUGUGCUGCGGGUUUGAUUGGCUUUCUCCAUCAAUUGUUUAGCUUUUAUUUGUGAUAAAGCAUUCAGAUGGUGGUUGGGGGUGUUGGUCAGAUUUGAGAAUUGUUGAUGAAGAAGAUGAAAUCGGGUUGAAUGCGAUGAAGCGUGUUUCAACAAAAAAGAAAAGAGAUGAAGCUCAAGCACGUGCUAGCUGGAGGAUAUAUAGAGGCUACGAUCGAGACUAUCUUUGAGUCUUGGCAUGAAGUAAAAGAUAAAUGCGGAAAAUUUAUAGUUUGAUUGAUAUAUUGUGUUGUGUUUUGUUAUUUGUAUAAACAAUCAUUUUUUCUAGGCUUAAAUGAACUUUUGGUUCUUGAAAUUGUAAAGGGAAUCAAAUUUGGUCCCUGUAAAAUUUUCGCAUCAAAUUGGAUCCCUAAAAUUGACUUUUUAAUCUAAUUAAGUCCUUUUGCUCAAUUUUGACCGGUCAACGGUCUAGUAGCAAGCCUAGUCAGCUAAGGACGGUCACGUGGACUUUUCACAUCAAUAUUAGUCCCUUGAAAAAUAUUUUAAUCAAUUUUAGUCCUUGUUCUUCCA